AUCCAGCUAGUGACAAGUCCCAAAUAGGACGAAACGCGUGUCAAACUGUAU
rfam:Schistosoma mansoni strain Puerto Rico chromosome 6, complete genome